rnacentral:rRNA from 1 species
CUUCUCCUACGGGAGGCAGCAGUGGGGGAUAUUGCACAAUGGGGGCAACCCUGAUGCAGCGACGCCGCGUGAGCGAUGGAGUACUUCGGUAUGUAAAGCUCUGUCAGCAGGGAAGAGAAUGACGGUACCUGACCAAGAAGCCCCGGCUAAAUACGUGCCAGCAGCCGCGGUAAUACGUAUGGGGCAAGCGUUAUCCGGAUUCACUGGGCGUAAAGGGAGCGCAGGCGGCAUGGCAAGUCUGAUGUGAAAACCCGGGGCCCAACCCCGGGAGUGCAUUGGAAACUGCCAGGCUGGAGUGUCGGAGG